GGCUGGAUCACCUCCUUUCUAGGGAGUCUCGGAGGCCCUCGGGCCUUCGAUGUCCCAGGUCGAGUUCGGUCUAGGUGGGCGGCUCAUGUCGCACUGCCGAAGAGCUGUGAAUCCCGGGUUCUCCCGGUGACUCGUUCGAUCGGGGCAGCUUUCGACCGUUCAACCGUCACUGUCGCCGCACGUCAUUCGUUUUUCGGGGACCGAGCGCAGGAGCGCGGUCGCUCGAGCGGACUGGAUUCGAUCGCUUCGGAUGGGCCUGUAGCUCAGCCCGGUUAGAGCGUCCGCCUGAUAAGCGGGAGGUCGGUAGUUCAAGUCUACCCAGGCCCACCACUCGCUCGUUUUGCUGGGGCUGUAGCUCAGCUGGGAGAGCGCGGGCUUUGCAAGCCUGAGGUCGUCGGUUCGAUCCCGAUCAGCUCCACCAGACCGUUCCCGAUACCCAAAUCGAUUCGCUCCCUUCGUGGGAGCACGGCUCGAUACAAGCCGGAACCGAUCGGUCUUUGACAACCGAAUAGAUUUCUGGGUCCAAGUGGAAGUAGUGCCUUGGCAGCGGGCCGAUCUAUUCGAUCGGUCGCGCGAGAGUUCAAUGAAUAUUUGGUCAAGCAGCAAAGGGCAAACGGUGGAUGCCUUGGCGCCAGAAGGCGAUGAAGGACGUGGUUAGCUGCGAUAAGCCACGGGGAGCUGCUAAACGAGCUUUGAUCCGUGGAUUUCCGAAUGGGGGAAACCUGGCCGGGGUCAUGCCCGGUCGUCUCACUGCUGAAUUCAUAGGCGGUGAGAAGCAAACCCGGGGAACUGAAACAUCUCAGUACCCGGAGGAAUGGAAAUCAACCGAGACUCCCCUAGUAGCGGCGAGCGAACGGGGAACAGCCUAAACCGGCGGGAAGCAAUUCCUUCCGGGGUCGUGGGACUCCGCCAUGGGACUUCGAUGGGUAGCAGAAGGAGAUGUGAAAGCUCCGCCAGAGCGGGUGAUAGCCCCGUAUGCGAAACCCUGACGAGCCCUAGGAGUAUCCCGAGUACCGCGGGGCACGAGAAACCCCGUGGGAAUCUGGGUGGACCAUCAUCCAAGGCUAAGUACUAACUGGCGACCGAUAGUGAACCAGUACCGUGAGGGAAAGGCGAAAAGAACCCCGGCGAGGGGAGUGAAAUAGAACCUGAAACCGUUUGCCUACAUACAGUGGGAGCACAAUGACGUCUUCGGACGUCCAGUGUGACUGCGUACCUUUUGUUUAACGGGUCCGCGAGUUACUCCUCGGCAGCAUGGUUAAGCCGAUAGGCGUAGCCGUAGCGAAAGCGAGUCUGAAUAGGGCGCUCGUUGCCGGGGGUAGACCCGAAACCGGGUGAUCUACCCAUGGCCAGGUUGAAGCUCGGGUAAUACCGAGUGGAGGACCGAACCGCAGCAGAUUGAAAACUGCCCGGAUGAGCCGUGGGUAGGGGUGAAAGGCCAAUCAAACCCGGAGAUAGCUGGUUCUCCCCGAAAUAUAUUGAGGUAUAGCCUCACGUGAUCGCCACCGGAGGUAGAGCACUGGAUGGGCUAGGGGCCCUACCAGGUUACCGAACCCAACCAAACUCCGAAUACCGGUGAGUGCAGCGUGGGAGUCAGACUGCGGGCGAUAAGGUUCGUAGUCGAGAGGGAAACAGCCCAGACCGCCAGCUAAGGUCCCAAAUCCGCGCUAAGUGGGAAAGGAAGUGGGAGCGCAUAGACAACCAGGAGGUUGGCUUAGAAGCAGCCAUCCUUUAAAAAGUGCGUAAUAGCUUACUGGUCUAGUGAGCCCGCGCCGAAAUGUAACGGGGCUCAAGCGCGGUACCGAAGCUGCGGGCUCGAGAUGCCCUCGGGUGUCUCGAGCGGUAGGGGAGCGUUCCAGUUGCCUGCGAAGCCCGAUCGAGAGAACGGGUGGAGGUCCUGGAAGUGCCUAUGCGGACACGAGUAGCGAUAAACAGGGCGAGAAACCCUGUCGCCGUAAGCCCAAGGGUUCCUGAGUAAAGCUAAUCUGCUCAGGGUUAGUCGGUCCCUAAGCCGAGGGCGAACGCCGUAGGCGAUGGGAAACGGGUUAAUAUUCCCGUACCACCAGUCAUCCCGUUCGACCGAAGGGGGGACGGAGAAGGGUAGCCGGGCCGGGUGUUGGAAAUCCCGGUUCAAGCCUGUAGGCGGGUGGCGUAGGCAAAUCCGCGCCGCCAUUCAACGCCGAGAGGUGACGUCGAGAGCUUCGGCUCACAAAGCCGGUGAUCCCACGCUUCCUAGAAAAUCCUCGUAGGGAGGAUGUCUGGUGACCGUACCGCAAACCGACUCAGGUGGGCGGGCAGAGCAUGCCAAGGCGCUUGAGACAACUCUGGUCAAGGAACUCGGCAAAUUGACACCGUAACUUCGGGAGAAGGUGUGCCCCGAAUCGUGAAAGGACUUGCUCCUCGAGCGAAACGGGGUUGCAGAGAGCAGGGGGGUAGCGACUGUUUACUAAAAACACAGGACUCUGCGAAGUCGCAAGACGACGUAUAGGGUCUGACGCCUGCCCGGUGGCCGGAAGGUUAAGGGGAUCCGUCAGCCGCAAGGCAAAGCGAUGAACCGAAGCCCCGGUAAACGGCGGCCGUAACUAUAACGGUCCUAAGGUAGCGAAAUUCCUUGUCGGGUAAGUUCCGACCUGCACGAAUGGCGUAACGACUUCCCCACUGUCUCGACCAGAGACUCAGCGAAACUGAAUUGCCGGUGAAGAUGCCGGCGACCCGCGGCGGGACGGAAAGACCCUGUGCACCUUUACUACAACUUCGCAGUGAUCGUCGGUUCAGCAUGUGUAGGAUAGGUGGGAGGCUUUGAAGCCGGGACGCUAGUCUCGGUGGAGCCAACCUUGAAAUACCACCCUUGUUGUGCUGCCGAUCUAACCUAGGCCCGUAAUCCGGGUCGGGAACACUGCGUGGUGGGUAGUUUGACUGGGGCGGUCGCCUCCCAAAGAGUAACGGAGGCGCG
rnacentral:misc_RNA from 1 species